rnacentral:rRNA from 1 species
GGGCAGACGGACUUUGAACAAAAGCUUUUUUUUGGGUCGUUAUCGGCGGAGGGUAAGUAAGACUACACGUAGUCGACCUGCCCUCUGGCUUGGCACAACUACCGGAUACGUUAUCUAAUAUCGUUUACUUGUUUUCUUCGCCUGAAGUAAACUGGACAGACGGAGCAAUCUGUCGCUUGGGGAUGGGCCUGCGGCGCAUUAGCUAGUUGGUGAGGUAACGGCUCACCAAGGCGACGAUGCGUAGCCGACCUGAGAGGGUGAUCGGCCACACUGUGACUGAGACACGGCCCAGACUCCUACGGGAGGCAGCAGUAGGGAAUCUUCCGCAAUGGGCGAAAGCCUGACGGAGCAAUGCCGCGGGAGUGAUGUAGGUUUUCGCAUCGUAUAGCUCUGUUGCCAGGAAAGAACGCUUGGCAGAGUGUCUGCUCUCUAGGCGACGGUACCUGAAAAGAACGCUCCGUCUAUCUACGUGCCAGCAGACGCGGUAAUACGUAGGGCGCUAGCGCUGAUCGAAAUUAUUGGUCCAAUGGGGGGGGGGAGGCCCCGAUGAUAUCUCUUGUAGUUUCAUCCCGGCGCUCGUACUCCCCUCGCAGUGGUGCUCUGUGUGACUUGAGCGCCAACAAGGGAGAUUGCAACCCCUAGCGCAUAGCACUCUUUGGUUUACGGGGGUGAACUACCAGGGGUAGCCAAUCCUGUUUGGUUCCCACUGCUAUCGCGCUCAGCGAUCAGAUACAGACCAAACAGAUGCCAUCGCCACUGCAUGUCCUCCCCACCUCUACCAUGUCACCGCUACGGGAGGGAGAUCACACUCCCUCUCUGACUCAAGAUACGAGAUUCCGUCCGGAGCGGAGGUGGACCGGAUAAAACCAACUACUGACGCCUGCGCCGCUAGCUGAGAUUCGUAACGCAUGGCUAGCUAACCGGCCUGGUCCGAUACGGGACUCCUAGGACCCACCUGAGGGGAAGGUAACGUACG